UUCCGGUUGAUCCUGCCAGAGGCGACCGCUAUUGGAGUUCGAUUAAGCCAUGCGAGUAGAAAGAAAUUAGAUUCUUUGCAUACUGCUCAGUAACACGUGGAUAACCUGCCCUACACUGGGGGAUAAUCUUGGGAAACUGAGGAUAAUACCCCAUAGACCACUACGCCUGGAACGGUGAGUGGUUGAAAGCUCCGGCGGUGUAGGAUGGGUCUGCGGCGUAUCAGGUCGUAGGGGGUGUAACGGACCUCCUAGCCAUCGACGCGUACGGGUUGUGGGAGCAAUAGCCCGGAGACGGAUUCUGAGACACGAAUCCGGACCCUACGGGGUGCAGCAGGCGCGAAAACUUCACACUGCAGGAAACUGUGAUGAGGGAACUCCAAGUGCAUGCACAAUGUGUAUGCUUUUCUUGAAUCUUAAUAGUUCUUGGAAUAAGGGCUGGGAAAGACCGGUGCCAGCCGCCGCGGUAAUACCGGCAGCUCAAGUGGUCGUCGUUCUUAUUGGGCCUAAAACGUCCGUAGCCUGUUUGGUAAAUCUGUGGGUAAAUCAACGAGCUCAACUCGUUGAAUUCUGCAGAGACUGCCAGACUAGGGACCGGGAGAGGUAUGAGGUACUCUGGGGGUAGG
rnacentral:rRNA from 1 species